UGCUUCUUCCGGCUGAGUUUGUCUGGAGGGGCAAGAGGGGCUCUAGCCCCACCAGCCCAAUGCAAUGUGUAUUGGACUUGAAACAUUGAAAUGCGCAUGCUCAGAGUGUUUCUCUGUUGAAGUGGGGCUAGCCCCACCGGGAAGUAAAAUAAUCUCCGUCCGCCAUGGACAUAUAUGGUUCGUUCCACUACAGCGUCAUUUCGUUUUUCACAGUUCAUUGGCUGUAGGGUGAGGCACGUGAGGAGUCAUGACUCGAGUGACCUCCCACCUCACCUCACGUGCCGCGCGCAAGAAGUCCGGUAGCGAAGAAGAGAAGGAGAAGGAUAACUUUGCUAACAAUCAUGCCGGAGACACACAAACGAAAACGAAUCGACAACAUGAAUGUGGUAGAUCAUCUAUUGGAGCACAGAUUUGAGACCCUUAGUCUGGAGGAAAAAUUAGAGUACCUGCCUGCUGUCCUGGCAGGUCCUUGUGGCUGGAGGGCUGAAUAGAGAAUGGGAAACACCAAGCCAGGGCUACAAACAUCAUGGUGGGACACUUGACUAAGAUAGCCGGGAGCAGGCGGAGUCAACGUCUACAAAGAUCGCCACGACUG